UACGUAGGGUGCAAGCGUUAAUCGGAAUUACUGGGCGUAAAGCGUGCGCAGGCGGUUUUGUAAGUCUGUCGUGAAAUCCCCGGGCUCAACCUGGGAAUUGCGAUGGAGACUGCAAGGCUAGAAUCUGGCAGAGGGGGGUAGAAUUCCACGUGUAGCAGUGAAAUGCGUAGAGAUGUGGAGGAACACCGAUGGCGAAGGCAGCCCCCUGGGUCAAGAUUGACGCUCAUGCACGAAAGUGUGGGGAGCGAACAGG
rnacentral:rRNA from 1 species